rnacentral:rRNA from 1 species
UACGUAGGUGGCAAGCGUUGUCCGGAUUUACUGGGCGUAAAGAGCGCGCAGGCGGUCGUUCAAGUCGCGUGUGAAAGCCCCCGGCUCAACUGGGGAGGGUCAUUCGAUUACUGAUCGACUCGAAGGCAAGAGAGGGUAGUGGAAUUCCGGUGUAGUGGUGAAAUGCGUAGAUAUCGGGAGGAACACCAGUGGCGAAGGCGACUACCUGGCCUGUUCUUGACGCUGAGGCGGCGAAAGCUAGGGGAGCAAACGGG